GGCACGUUAGUUGCAGUCUACCUCCACCAACAGGGUGGAAAACAAAGGUCGCCAUUCCGAUUAGCUGCUAUCUCCCAGUUCAAGCACUUUUGCUGUCUGGACACUGGUUCCUGUGGAUGGGCUGUUACAAGCUUCACUGUCUGAUAUAGAAGUGAUGAGCAUCCAUAAGGACACAUGGCAGAAAGGGAAUCUCUUUGAGAUGACAAACCCUCAUCACCUCAUGAGGAUACAAUGGUUGACGAAUGGUUCUCAAGUACAUCGAAACUUCAACAAAUAAUUCAUGAAAAAGCCAGUCAGUGCUAGCACCAGGAAUUGAACGUGGACCGUCCUGCUACCAGUCAGAGAUGUUACAUUUCAGGCGCUCAUUGACUUUUGGUGCAUUACUUGUUGACUUUGUCCCAAGGUGGAGCUCGCCACAGCUCAUUUGUCUAUCUGUUAAUGUUGUGGCGUGUGUUGCGUUUUUCUCUUUGUGUGUUCCAGACUCAGAACGGUUAAUUUGGAUCAGGUCAGGUACGUUUCAUUUAGACAUGGCAAACAUAAAGUGGUGUUUCUCAACACAACUUAGCAGUGGCCUUCAUGCAUUACUGCCACGGCCAUUAAGCGUGAAUGGAAGGCUGGACAUUAUGCAUGAUGUAAAACCCCAAGACUAGGAACACGAAGGGACAAACACAAACACGUCCCUUUGUGUUCCCUAGUCACGGGGUUUUACAUAUGCGUCAUCUUCACCAGCUCACUUGCUUCCUAGCCAUUUUUUCUGCACAUUAUGUUCACUCUACUUCGAUCGUGUGCUAUGUAAUCUUGUUCAAGUUCUGUCAAACGACGUGUAAUGCUAUAAAAAAAUUCAGUACACUGUUUAUGUGGGUUGAAUGGUAGCGCAUAAAUGCAGAAAGGGAACUGUCAUGUUAUGGAAAGUGUUUACGUAUUGUACAUUUAACUACUAAUUUUAUUGGUUAGCUUUCGCCGGCAUAUGAUGUCAAGCCAUGUUAUAUUAAUUUGGAACAUGUUCUUCUUAGUAGCCAGAGCAGCUGACACACAUUGAGAACAUAGCCCGUGUGUGUUUGUCUUUUCCACCGCAGCCCUUGGGUUUCCUCCCUGAUGGCUACACAUGUCAGGGAUAGGUUUCAGAACCGGUAGUUCCCGCCAAGUGUGAAUUACUUUUCAGGGGAUCAUCACGCUGGCAGAUGAAACAUAUCGUUUAAAUUAUUUGCAGGACAGGAAUUGCGUAGCUUCACACAAAUACUACUACUACGACGUACCCCAAGAACACACUGUCAUCCGAGGGCUAUCCUAAGGUUGUCAGAUGGGGACAGGUAUGGCAUCCCUAGGACGUCAGAAUCUGAUCCUCAGAAUGUCAUAAUACUGCCACUUUGGCAUAUGAGAUGAUAUCCCCGAGGCUGUCCCUCGCCCGUCCUCAGGGACCAAUUUAGGACAGUUUAAGUACACAUGGAGGACAAUGCUUUCCCUCCAUUCCCUGCUUUGAUUUGUUUGAUUUUGCUAUUUCUGGCACGCACAUCCGCCAAGUGCUUGCAGAAGUUACAUCAAAUUGCAAUGACACCAAAGUUACGGCAGCAUUUUUAUUGUUCCAUUGAGAAACAGAAUCUUGUCAAGGACACUAAGCCUGAAAAAUCCUCGUAUUGCCAACUGUAGGGUGGGACAAGCUCGCCCACACCGAAAGGUACUAGAAUUCUCUUCCGAAGCCAUAACAUAUACCAUUUGUUGCUUAUAACGCGACCCACCGUAAAUUCGAGAGUCCUGCUCGCCUGCGACGCAAAACGAAGGGUGAGCUGUCCAUGUUUCUUCCGA